rnacentral:rRNA from 1 species
ACGAACGCUGGCGGCGUGCUUAACACAUGCAAGUCGAACGCUGAAGCUCAGCUUUUGUUGGGUGGAUGAGUGGCGAACGGGUGAGUAACACGUGAGUAACCUGCCCCCUUCUUUGGGAUAACGCCCGGAAACGGGUGCUAAUACUGGAUAUUCACUGGUCUUCGCAUGGGGGUUGGUGGAAAGGGUUUUUCUGGUGGGGGAUGGGCUCGCGGCCUAUCAGCUUGUUGGUGGGGUGAUGGCCUACCAAGGCUUUGACGGGUAGCCGGCCUGAGAGGGUGACCGGUAACAUUGGGACUGAGAUACGGCCCAGACUCCUACGGGAGGCAGCAGUGGGGAAUAUUGCACAAUGGGCGCAAGCCUGAUGCAGCGACGCCGCGUGAGGGAUGGAGGCCUUCGGGUUGUGAACCUCUUUCGCUCAUGGUCAAGCCGCAACAAUGGUUGUGGUGAGGGUAGUGGGUAAAGAAGCGCCGGCUAACUACGUG